GGAGUGUGUAAAAACUCACCUGCCGAAUGAAUUAGCCCUGAAAAUGGAUGGCGCUGAAGCGGGUAGCCGACACCAUGCCGUCUGGGCAAUUUUUUUUUAAAAUUAAAAACUGAUUUCAGAUGAGUAGGAGGGCGUGGUGGCCGUGUCGAAGCUUGCGUGCAGACGCAUGUGGAACGGCCACUAGUGCAGAUCUUGGUGGUAGUAGCAAAUAUUCAAGCGAGAUCCUUGAAGGGCGAAGCGGGGAAGGGUUCCACGCGAACAUUGAUUGGGCGUGGGUGAGUCGUUCCUAAGCCGAGUGGCGAUUGCUAAGUAGCGGCGAAAGGGAAGCGGGUUGACAUUCCCGCACACGGAUGUGGAGGCGGUGACGCUUUUAUUGCGGCGAACACGCUGGCGGUGGCGCUGGGCAGAGUUUUCUUUUCUGUUUGACCGCUUUAUGCGCGCGGUGUGGAAUCCGCUUGUCGGGAGAAACACGCGCGUACGGGCAGAGCGCCGGGCUUUUUCCGGCGUCCAGCUCGCCACCGACGGCCCUUGAAACUUUGCCUGCUGAUUUAAAAUCCACGCCGUGGCGUACCGAUCACCGCAUCAGGUCCCCAAGGUGAACAGCCUCUGCUCCAUAUGAACAAUGCAGGUAA
rnacentral:rRNA from 1 species